rnacentral:lncRNA from 1 species
UUAUACAUAAAAGUACAAAAUUCUACAAUUUCAAACAGGAGGAUGCUUUGGUUCCUUUCAGGUAACCUUCCUUAACUCUUUGUUAAAUUGCUAGAAGGAUUUGUGCGCACACCCGCUGUCAGCUCAGUGUUAACUUACCCUCUCAGCAUAAACUGCUUGGAGAGCGAUGUGAGCAGGCUGGGCACUGCCAAGUUCAUGCAAGCUGCUCUGGAAAUUCAGCUGAGGCAAAUAAUGAGCACCUGAUUUAUGGGUGAGAAGGUCUUCAAUGUUUCAGCUCUUUCUAAAGCACUCUCUGAUUGUGUUCUAAUGGGCAAUUUUGGUAGCUCACAUUUUUGCACACACAAGUCACAUUAAUUUUUAGAAGUAUCUGACCACUGGGAUUUUUUUUUUUUUUUUUUUUUGUGGGAGCAGUUCAGAGGGCUUUUCUGGUUCUUGUUUUUCUUUUGGUUUAUCUUGAAUUCCUUUAUUUACUUCAAGGGUGUAGGUUCUUUUUUAUAUAUAUAUAUAUACUUAGGGAACUGUUGUUAUUAUCUGCCAAACAUCUCAGAAAAUUAAGGAAGUUUGAAGAUUUCAAAGGAGAAGUGCCUUAAACCAGCUGCCACUUUGCUCAUUUCAACCUUUGACACUAUGAGGAGUUUCAAGGACUUGUCUUCUGAAAGUGUUUACCUUGUGAGGUGGCUUCCUGGGAACGGAUCAAAAGCAAGUAUUGCCUUACUCCUUGUAUGCCCUAAAAUACCAUCAUCUGUUCUGAUCCAUGGAAAAACGAUGAAAAUAAAUGCCUGGGGUAUAUGCCCAACUGAAGAGAGCAUUCUUGAAGAGCCAUACCGUGUUUUAGAACAGAAAACUGCUUUUCCCUAGUGAUAAAGUUGACUGACUACUUUGCAAAAUAGUUUUGCAAUCAUUUGAAAACCACUGGAAAAUUCACCCUUGUGAUUACUGUUUCAAGGAGACAGAAGAUCCAUCUGUGUGGAGAGCUGAGGGAAUUACAGAUGGAAGGGUAAGAGAAAUGCCCUUUAGAUUCCAAACUGUAUUUCUCCCUUACAAUAAAACAACAUUUAAGAUUCA